AUCCCCGCCAGCCAGCCAGCCCCCGCCUACGUCCUUCUUCCCUCACUCGGUGUCUCUCCCUUUCUUGCCUAGGGCCAGGCAGGAAUGCGAACAAUUCCGGCCCGAACUUUGAGGCUUCCUUAGGAGAGAAGCGGAGAUAGAGAGACGUCGUCGUUGCCGUCGUCCGUCCCCCCCACGGGGAAGGGAAAGAGAGCCAACUCCGGAGGCUCACAAUGGAAAGCCGCUGCCACGAAACUCGCCGGCUCCCUCCCCCCCCCCGUCCCCGCGGAGAGUUUGCCCGCUUUCCUUUCCCUCCUCGCGGGAACUCAAACAACAACAACGGCCCACCCCCCACACAAAAAGCACCUCCGAACUUAUUACCUGAGGUCUUCCUUUCCCCUCUUAGGCUGGAUACUCAAGGUCAUUUCUGUUAACUUGCAAUAGAAGUUAUUACUGUAGCACAAACUCUGAUACUUGUACAGUACAUACACAAUGGGGAAAGAGGAGCCUUGCAGCCUGGAGAAAAAACAUGAAGUCAUCUUGUGCCGUGCUCUUCUUGAAUAAAAAUGUUCACCACCAGAAUAGAACUGGGUUUAGUUUACAGGUAAUUUCCAAGCAAAUAAUCAACAUUGACAGAAGAGGCCUACCAAAAUUGAUCCAAAUACAAACUCUGAAGCUUCAAGUUUUGACUCUGCGUUUAAACUGACAGCCAGCUGGUCAACUGUAACCAGGUGAACUUUGUGAACUUCCCACCAGAAGUUGUACACCAGGCAUCUUUUCUUCCCAUGUGCCUCCCCUUCUCCCUCCCCCAGACUGUACACAAGAGUUUGAAAGCCUUGAAUCUCUUUAACAGGCCUAAUUAAACCAUGUGGGCUGCAUGGGGACAGGAUGGCAAAUCCUAAAUCACAAAGUUCAGCGAAGAACAUAAUCUAAAUCUGCAUUUUGUUUUCCUCACAUACAAACCAGGGGAAAACAAUAAAAAGGGCAUGGUGGCAGGAGUCAGAAGGGUGGGAGAAGGGAAUUUCCUCCACAUUCUAAAUGUUAAAAAUGCUGUGUAGCUUUGCAUUUACAGAAUAAUGUAUAAACUGGUCCAUUAUUAGUUUCGAACAGAGAGGCAGUGAGAGAUUCCAAGAUGAUUCCAGGGGGUAUAUAUUAAAGUGCCCAGGGGUACAGACUUUCCUCAGGGAUAUUCCAGGCUGUUUUCUGAAUGUUGAGCUUUUACUAAAGGAAAUAUGAAGAAAGUGUUGGCAAUAUUCUCUCCCCCAAUUGCUCAUUAAAUAAUAAAAUGUUUCCACCUUCCCGUGUUCUAGCCGUUGAGCUCAAUGACCCUGGGAAAACUGACAAACAUAGCUGCCUCAUUUCUUUUUUAAAAAAACACCCCACUUUAAUUUUAUUUUACUUGUAUUUAUUAACAUGCUAGGCUACCUAUAUGUUCUGGCUGCUCUGCAGUGUUUCUCUGAUCUCCUAAAGCAGGCUUCCUCAACCUUGGCCCUCCAGUUGUUUUUGGCCUACAACUCCCAUGAUCCCUAGCUAGCAGGACCAGUGGCCAGGGAUGAUGGGAAUUGUAGUCCCAAAACAUCUGGAGGGCUGAGGUUGAGGAAGCCUGUCCUAAAGUCUCACAAUAAAAUGUCUGGCAACAGA